rnacentral:tRNA from 1 species
UGGGUAGUAGCUCAGUGGUAAAGCUCUCGCUUCGUAUGCGGGAAGAUCUGGGUUGGAUUCCCGGUUGCUUCC